rnacentral:misc_RNA from 1 species
AGUCGUAACAAGGUCUCCGUUGGUGAACCAGCGGAGGGGUCAUUGAUGGAAUAAACGCCUCACAGGCGCUACCAUAAACCUUUGUGAAUACUACCUAAAAAUCGUUGCCUCGGCAUUGGUUGGCCUCUUUGAGGUCCUUCUCUAGGGAAGGAGCAGACCGGCCGGUGGCCCUAUAAACUCUUGUCUUUGUAAUAUCAUCUGAGUAAACAACUAAAUGAAUCAAA